rnacentral:rRNA from 1 species
GACGGAGGAUGCAAGCGUUAUCCGGAAUGAUUGGGCGUAAAGCGUCCGCAGGUGGCAGUUCAAGUCUGCUGUCAAAGACCGGGGCUUAACUUCGGAAAGGCAGUGGAAACUGAACAGCUAGAGUAUGGUAGGGGCAGAGGGAAAUUCCUGGUGUAGCGGGUGAAAUGCGUAGAGAUCAGGAAGAACAUCGGUGGCGAAAGGCGCUCUGCUGGACCAUAAACUGACAUCAGGGACGAAAGCUAGGGGGAGCAAUGGG